rnacentral:sRNA from 1 species
AGACGAUGCCACUCUCGUUGCGCAUCAGUCCGCGCGCGAGAU